GGAGCCGUGCCUGAAUAAAGGGACACUUUGAUAGAGUGAAUCACGAAGGUUAAAAUCCUUCCGACUCCU
rnacentral:tRNA from 1 species